rnacentral:rRNA from 1 species
AUGAAGAAUCUGAAAGAUACAAGAACCAAUAUCGUUCCCUCUAAGACGAGGGGAGGUAAGGAAUUGCCAUCACACUCUGCAAUUGAUUCACCUUCUGUUUUGAAUAGACUUGCAAUACUACCACCUUCUAUUAAAUCUGAUAUGUCGCAAGUUAUUGGUGAUGCUACUUCUGCUACGAAUGAUGUUUAUGAUGAUGCUAGUAACUCGCUUGAUGAUAAUGUGCCACUAGGUGAAUUUCUUGAUGAACAAAUUGCUAGACCUAAAGAAAAGGAAAUUACUAAAACUGAUGAAAUUAUUUAA